rnacentral:rRNA from 1 species
CUCCACCGGAAAAAGAAGAGUGGCGAACGGGUGAGUAACACGUGGGUAACCUGCCCAUCAGAAGGGGAUAACACUUGGAAACAGGUGCUAAUACCGUAUAACAAUCGAAACCGCAUGGUUUUGAUUUGAAAGGCGCUUUCGGGUGUCGCUGAUGGAUGGACCCGCGGUGCAUUAGCUAGUUGGUGAGGUAACGGCUCACCAAGGCCACGAUGCAUAGCCGACCUGAGAGGGUGAUCGGCCACAUUGGGACUGAGACACGGCCCAAACUCCUACGGGAGGCAGCAGUAGGGAAUCUUCGGCAAUGGACGAAAGUCUGACCGAGCAACGCCGCGUGAGUGAAGAAGGUUUUCGGAUCGUAAAACUCUGUUGUUAGAGAAGAACAAGGAUGAGAGUAACUGUUCAUCCCUUGACGGUAUCUAACCAGAAAGCCACGGCUAACUACGUGCCAGCAGCCGCGGUAAUACGUAGGUGGCAAGCGUUGUCCGGAUUUAUUGGGCGUAAAGCGAGCGCAGGCGGUUUCUUAAGUCUGAUGUGAAAGCCCCCGGCUCAACCGGGGAGGGUCAUUGGAAACUGGGAGACUUGAGUGCAGAAGAGGAGAGUGGAAUUCCAUGUGUAGCGGUGAAAUGCGUAGAUAUAUGGAGGAACACCAGUGGCGAAGGCGGCUCUCUGGUCUGUAACUGACGCUGAGGCUCGAAAGCGUGGGGAGCAAACAGGAUUAGAUACCCUGGUAGUCCACGCCGUAAACGAUGAGUGCUAAGUGUUGGAGGGUUUCCGCCCUUCAGUGCUGCAGCUAACGCAUUAAGCACUCCGCCUGGGGAGUACGACCGCAAGGUUGAAACUCAAAGGAAUUGACGGGGGCCCGCACAAGCGGUGGAGCAUGUGGUUUAAUUCGAAGCAACGCGAAGAACCUUACCAGGUCUUGACAUCCUUUGACCACUCUAGAGAUAGAGCUUCCCCUUCGGGGGCAAAGUGACAGGUGGUGCAUGGUUGUCGUCAGCUCGUGUCGUGAGAUGUUGGGUUAAGUCCCGCAACGAGCGCAACCCUUAUUGUUAGUUGCCAUCAUUUAGUUGGGCACUCUAGCAAGACUGCCGGUGACAAACCGGAGGAAGGUGGGGAUGACGUCAAAUCAUCAUGCCCCUUAUGACCUGGGCUACACACGUGCUACAAUGGGAAGUACAACGAGUCGCGAAGUCGCGAGGCUAAGCUAAUCUCUUAAAGCUUCUCUCAGUUCGGAUUGUAGGCUGCAACUCGCCUACAUGAAGCCGGAAUCGCUAGUAAUCGCGGAUCAGCACGCCGCGGUGAAUACGUUCCCGGGCCUUGUACACACCGCCCGUCACACCACGAGAGUUUGUAACACCCGAAGUCGGUGAGGUAACCUUUUGGAGCCAGCCGCCUAAGG